AAAUUUCAGUUUUUGGUAUUUUAUAAAGCAUGAACUAUGAUCAACAACAAACAACAAUAACCAACAACAAACAAGUUCAAUAAACCAACAACAAACAAGUUCAAUAAAACAACAACAAUAACAAACAAAUUCAACCAAACAACAACAACAACAAACAAGUUCAGCCAAACAACAAUCAUAAACAAGUUCAACAAAAAAAAAAGAAAAACAAACAAAUUCAAAAAAUGAGUUCUUUAAAACAAAAAC
rnacentral:lncRNA from 1 species